rnacentral:tRNA from 1 species
CAGUAUUUAGUUUAAAUAAAAUAUAAUAUUUGGGGUAUUAAGAUUUAAUAUACUGA